AGUGAACAGAUCUUUGGUUUUGCCUUUUCUGACUGCUGAUCUGAUCGUCUCAAAUCUGGUGACCUGUUGCAGAAAGCCCUCUCCCUCUAUCAUUAACAAGCAAUUCAGUCUGUCCUAUCACUCUCCCCACUCUAUCUAUUUUGACAAGCCAUUCUAUCUUGUAUCACUCUAUCCCAAGAGCUCUAUCUAAUUUACCAAAAAUCACGUUUUGACUGAGAUCAAGUUUUGACUGGAAUCAAGUUUUGUCUGGAAUAAUCAAGCUUUGACUGGUCCCAGUUUUUGGGAAAUUGAAGUUACCAGUACUUCAUCUAUCUGUUACAGAAUUCUGAGAGAUCUCUGCUCUCACUGCUCCUUCUUUCCUGUUGUUAGACUCUCUCACCUCCAGUCAUUUUGCUGGAAAUUACAAGUAGAAAGUUGAAUAUACAGUACAGUACAGUACAGUACAACUUAUAGUAGAAACUACUUAC